GACGAACGCUGGCGGCGUGCUUAACACAUGCAAGUCGAACGGAAAGGCCCUGCUUUUGUGGGGUGCUCGAGUGGCGAACGGGUGAGUAACACGUGAGUAACCUGCCCUUGACUUUGGGAUAACUUCAGGAAACUGGGGCUAAUACCGGAUAGGAGCUCCUGCUGCAUGGUGGGGGUUGGAAAGUUUCGGCGGUUGGGGAUGGACUCGCGGCUUAUCAGCCUGUUGGUGGGGUAGUGGCUUACCAAGGCUUUGACGGGUAGCCGGCCUGAGAGGGUGACCGGCCACAAUGGGACUGAGAUACGGCCCAGACUCCUACGGGAGGCAACAGUGGGGAGUAUUGCACAAUGGGCGGAAGCCUGAUGCAGCAACGCCGCGUGCGGGAUGACGGCCUUCGGGUUGUAAACCGCUUUCGCCUGUGACGAAGCGUGAGUGACGGUAAUGGGUAAAGAAGCACCGGCUAACUACGUG
rnacentral:rRNA from 1 species